AUAGACUCAAAAUCAAAGAUAGAUCUGGCAAUUGUUUAAGAAGUAUUCAUUAUUUUGAAAGAGCAUAAUGAACAUUUGGAUUGCAAAAUUGUGAAUAAUAAGAUCAGAUAAUCCUUGAACGGAUCUAUUAAUCACACAAUACAAUCUAGUAACACUUCAGAAUACUGCCUGAUGAAUAAACGGAAUAUUCCUUAUAAUCAUAUGCAUAUUGUAAACAAAGAAGACAUGGUGUAAAACCUUGAUACUUGACUUUGAAGAGUAAAAGGACUGAUACGUUCCAACAAUUCUAUAAGACAAAAAGGUUUUAAAGAUUAAAAAAAAAAAUUUCUCUUUCAUAAUGUACCCAAGGAGUGUCAUAAAAUUUAUGUUGGUGCAAUUUCAUGUAUCUUCUUCCAUUCUAGUGAUUAAGAAGUACAUCCAUGCUCAUAAUCAUCAUGUUUUAAUUAUCCUGUAAACAAAUCAACAUCAUGCAAAAUUCUGUACCAUGAAGAGAAACCUCAAGGCCACAGAAAAGCUCAAAAAGUUUACAAAGCUUGCACACACAAUAGCAUAAAUUGAAAUGAGAAUGCCAGAAUCAGAAGCUAUAAUUCUAUUUCUUCCUUUCCAAAAGCCAUACGAAUUCUAUUUCUUUCCGCCUCCAAUUUACUACACUAGCCAUCUCCAAUAAAAA
rnacentral:misc_RNA from 1 species